UACGGAGGGUGCGAGCGUUGUCCGGAAUCACUGGGCGUAAAGGGCGCGUAGGUGGUGGCUUAAGCGUGCGGUGAAAGCUCGGGGCUCAACCCUGGGUCUGCGGUGGGUACGGGCAGACUAGAGUGUGGUAGGGGAGACUGGAAUUCCUGGUGUAGCGGUGAAAUGCGCAGAUAUCAGGAGGAACACCCGUAGCGAAGGCGGCACUCUGGGCCGAUACUGACACUGAGGAGCGAAAGCGUGGGGAGCGAACAGG
rnacentral:rRNA from 1 species